rnacentral:rRNA from 1 species
UACGUAGGUGGCAAGCGUUGUCCGGAUUUAUUGGGUUUAAAGGGUGCGUAGGCGGUUCUAUAAGUCAGUGGCGAAAUACGGCAGCUCAACUGUCGAGGUGCCAUUGAUACUGUAGAACUUGAGUACAGACGAGGUAGGCGGAAUUGACGGUGUAGCGGUGAAAUGCUUAGAUAUCGUCAAGAACACCGAUAGCGAAGGCAGCUUACCAGGCUGUAACUGACGCUGAGGCACGAAAGUGUGGGGAU